GGACAAUGGGGCGUUGAAGGAAGGAGGAUGAUAGAAGCAGAGGAAAGGGUACCCGAGGCAGAGGGAGCAACUUUAACGAAGGCUUAAGGACAAGAAACAGGUGACAUUGUGGCUUCAGCCCCUGUGCUCCAGUGAAACCAUUUCUGAAAGCGUCUCCAGUGACCUCUUAGUUGCCUUACUCAACCAUCCAAGGCUUAAUCCAGUGGGAUUUCUACAUUGUCAUAACUGCCAUGAAAUAAAGUAAAUGUGCUUCAGAGUCCCUAAUUGGAACUGCAGGUAAGGAUAGUGCUAGAAUUAUUUCCUUAGUUUUGGGGCAACUUUCUCUGUGUGAUGAAUUUUAAUAAUUACUUCAGAUCGGCAUUUGCACUUUUAUGUAUUUGUUUUCCCUGUGGCAAAUUUAUUCCUUAACAAAAGUUUGGGUUCCUUUUGUUCAUUUUUUAGUUGUCUUUUGAAUAAAAAAGUGAGUGACUUGGGAGAAUCACAUUAUUCAGAAUUAGAUAAGCACCACUGCCCUGCAAGAAAAGGAGCUCACUUCU